rnacentral:rRNA from 1 species
AGAGUUUGAUCAUGGCUCAGAUUGAACGCUGGCGACAGGCUUAACACAUGCAAGUCGAACGGUAACAGGAAGAAAGCUUGCUUUCUUUGCUGACGAGUGGCGGACGGGUGAGUAAUGCUUGGGAAUCUGGCUUAUGGAGGGGGAUAACUACGGGAAACUGUAGCUAAUACCGCGUAGUAUCGAGAGAUGAAAGUGUGGGACCGCAAGGCCACAUGCCAUAAGAUGAGCCCAAGUGGGAUUAGGUAGUUGGUUAGGUAAAGGCUGACCAAGCCGACGAUCUCUAGCUGGUCUGAGAGGAUGACCAGCCACACUGGAACUGAGACACGGUCCAGACUCCUACGGGAGGCAGCAGUGGGGAGUAUUGCACAAUGGGGGGAACCCUGAUGCAGCCAUGCCGCGUGAAUGAAGAAGGCCUUCGGGUUGUAAAGUUCUUUCGGUGAUGAGGAAGGUGUUUGUUUUAAUAGAACAAGCAAUUGACGUUAGUCACAGAAGAAGCACCGGCUAACUCCGUGCCAGCAGCCGCGGUAAUACGGAGGGUGCGAGCGUUAAUCGGAAUAACUGGGCGUAAAGGGCACGCAGGCGGUGACUUAAGUGAGAUGUGAAAGCCCCGAGCUUAACUUGGGAAUUGCAUUUCAUACUGGGUCGCUAGAGUACUUUAGGGAGGGGUAGAAUUCCACGUGUAGCGGUGAAAUGCGUAGAGAUGUGGAGGAAUACCGAAGGCGAAGGCAGCCCCUUGGGAAUGUACUGACGCUCAUGUGCGAAAGCGUGGGGAGCAAACAGGAUUAGAUACCCUGGUAGUCCACGCUGUAAACGCUGUCGAUUUGGGGAUUGGGUUUUAUGCUUGGUGCCCGUAGCUAACGUGAUAAAUCGACCGCCUGGGGA